ACUUCUAGGCUUGGUUGAACCGUGCAGAUACCUUUUCGAAACAAAAGGUUUUCCUACCUGCUUAUACUUGGUAACCGAGGGAAUUACUAAGACUUCUUGCUCAUUUCUGAGUAUUGUCUUUAUAUCCUGACACUAUGAAUGCUACUUGGAUGCCUCUUAAGUCUGUUCUCUGGGGAGGCAGUAAGGGGCCGUGGAGCUGGCCUCGGCCUCGGCAUCGGGAGAGGCUGGACUUCCUGUCUCUCUGUGCUGAAUGGCUGCGAUGGCGCCCGCUCUCACUGACGCAGCAGCUGAAGCACACCAUAUCCGGUUCAAACUGGCUCCCCCAUCCUCUACCUUGUCCCCUGGCAGUGCCGAAAAUAACGGCAACGCCAACAUCCUUAUUGCUGCCAACGGAACCAAAAGAAAAGCCAUUGCUGCAGAGGAUCCCAGCCUAGAUUUCCGAAAUAAUCCUACCAAGGAAGACUUGGGAAAGCUGCAACCACUGGUGGCAUCUUAUCUCUGCUCUGAUGUAACAUCUGUUCCCUCAAAGGAGUCUUUGAAGUUGCAAGGGGUCUUCAGCAAGCAGACAGUCCUUAAAUCUCAUCCUCUCUUAUCUCAGUCCUAUGAACUCCGAGCUGAGCUGUUGGGGAGACAGCCAGUUUUGGAGUUUUCCUUAGAAAAUCUUAGAACCAUGAAUACGAGUGGUCAGACAGCUCUGCCAAAAGCACCUGUAAAUGGGUUGGCUAAGAAAUUGACUAAAAGUUCAACACAUUCUGAUCAUGACAAUUCCACUUCCCUCAAUGAGGGAAAACGGGCUCUCACUUCAUCUGCUCUUCAUGGGGGUGAAAUGGGAGGAUCUGAAUCUGGGGACUUGAAGGGGGGUAUGACCAAUUGCACUCUUCCACAUAGAAGCCUUGAUGUAGAACACACAACUUUGUAUAGCAAUAAUAGCACUGCAAACAAAUCUUCUGUCAAUUCCAUGGAACAGCCGGCACUUCAAGGAAGCAGUAGGUUAUCACCUGGUACAGACUCCAGCUCUAACUUGGGGGGUGUCAAAUUAGAGGGUAAAAAGUCUCCCCUGUCUUCCAUACUUUUCAGUGCUUUAGAUUCUGACACAAGGAUAACAGCUUUACUGCGGCGACAGGCUGACAUUGAGAGCCGUGCCCGCAGAUUACAAAAGCGCUUACAGGUUGUGCAAGCCAAGCAGGUUGAGAGGCAUAUACAACAUCAGCUGGGUGGAUUUUUGGAGAAGACUUUGAGCAAACUGCCAAACUUGGAAUCCUUGAGACCACGGAGCCAGUUGAUGCUGACUCGAAAGGCUGAAGCUGCCUUGAGAAAAGCUGCCAGUGAGACCACCACUUCAGAGGGACUUAGCAACUUUCUGAAAAGCAAUUCAAUUUCAGAAGAAUUGGAGAGAUUUACAGCUAGUGGCAUAGCCAACUUGAGGUGCAGUGAACAGGCAUUUGAUUCAGAUGUCACUGACAGUAGUUCAGGAGGGGAGUCUGAUAUUGAAGAGGAAGAACUGACCAGAGCUGAUCCCGAGCAGCGCCAUGUACCCCUAUAUCUCCAUACAGCCAAGAAUAAAGAAAGAAAGGGAUAGAUGGAAUGAGUUCCAUAGUGAUUGGGAGUGGUUGUUGAGAAGAAUCAUGUAACUAUGUAAAAAGUGUAUCUGUUUGGUACACUGUUUGCUAAUGUCAGAAGUGUUAAAUGGAAAUAAAAUUUCCACCAUAGUAGCUAA
rnacentral:sRNA from 1 species